UCUAAAAUUGGUAUUGAUAGGAAAUAUGACGCACGUAAAAGAUAAAUUGAAACUAUCGGUAGCAAUUGGUAUAAAGAGACAGUAAAAGAAUAUUUUUUAUUAAAAAUUUACACACGGCAAAUAUUGUACAGUUUUUUAGACUUAAAAAAAAAAUGUCCAAAUUAUUUUUCUUGGUUUUGUUAAUCACUCUAGCAGUGAAUUUUAUCGACGCUACGUUCCCGUUUUGGUGCAGAAAAAAUGAUCAAUCGUGCAACCCACUUCUUGGGUUUGUAUGCUGCUCUGGUCUUCGGUGCUCAAGUCUUCUCAGGGGAAUAUGUGGAUUAUAAGAGUAUUAAAUAAUAAUUUUAUUAUGAUAUUAUUUA